UGUAAGCGUAUACCAAAGUUGUUGCAGUUAAAACGCUCGUAGUCGGAAUUUGGCAGUUCCGGAUGUGUGCACGUCGUGUGCGCACUUCGCGGGGAUUGCUUUUGUGGUCUUGCGUAGGAUGAGGCACUUUUAUUAGUGAACGUCCUCACGCAACCACUUUUUACUAUGAGAAAAUCAGAGUGCUCAAAGCAGGCAUUUGCCGUGAAUGUAUUAGCAUGGAAUAAUAGAAUAGGACUUGGUUCUAUUUUGUUGGUUUGUUGGGACUGAGUAAUGAUUAAGAGGGACAGUUGGGGGCAUUUGUAUUUCGGUGCUAGAGGUGAAAUUCUUAGAUUACCGAAAGACAAACUGCUGCGAAAGCGUCUGCCAAGGAUGUUUUCAUUGA
rnacentral:rRNA from 1 species